AUCACAGACAAAAUACAGUAGAAUUGAGAAAGAGUUCAAGAAAGGGUGGACAGCAUUUGUAGCAACUCUGUGAGAGAUAUCUGAAUAUUCAAGGACUUCUCAAGCUGGCAAACAAGCUGGAAGUGCUACAGAAGUCUGCAAAACCAGUAUACUUCCAUGCAUGAGCUUUUGUUGGUAACAUAAGCUUGCUGUGCAGAAGUGAUUUGCCAAUAGCAUUUCUGGAAAGGAAAGGAAAUGAAACUGUUGAAGAACGACAAGUUUGACUGUGCCAGGCAGAAGGCCUUACGGUUUCAACUGUCUAUUCCAUAAAGGAUAUAGACAGGCUUGGAUGUUUUUUUUUCACAUUUUAUCUGGAUGAGAGACAUUACAUCCAUCAACUUCACUAAGGUUAAUCUAACUCAGAACAAAGUGUUGAAGUGGAAGAUUUAACUGGGAAUACAAGUUACUGACCAGACACCUAAGGCAACUGGACCCUUAACUCAUACAAGUUAAUUACAUCUCUAAACCUGGGUGAUAUGAACUACAAGGCUAUCUAUGGAGCAAUAGCUUAGGGCCACUGUGAUUGCUCUUGCUUUCUAUGCAUCUGCUUUGGAAGAAUGGAGAUGUGGAACCAGUCUCAAAGGUCUACCUGGAGGACAAAUUUUAUGGUGGAAGUGCAUCUAUAUUUGAAGUCUGAAGCAGUUCCGGAAACUCUGGGAAUAGCAUUCAUUUGUUCUCUGUGGGACUAUUCAAAGCUAUUUCUUUAAGCAUUAAAACUGGAAAGUUUGGAUAAAGUAUAUUAGGUUAAAACAAUCUCAAGAUCCUGGGUGAUAUGUCUAUUACAGAGAAAAUAGCAUGUUCAUAUUAAUUACUGCUCCUAUACAAAUAUUUCUAGUUAGAAAAUACUUUUAUAUAAGCGUUUUUUUUUUUUCUUUUCUUAGUUAAAAACUUGAAUUUGAAUUUCAAAGUAAUUUCCUGUGCCUAGGAAAAAAUCUUUGCUUUAGGCCUGUUGUGGAAUUAAUGCAAUUUAUCUCUUAUUUCUCCUUUGCAGCCUCUGAAUCUAUAGACAUGAGGCCAACGAUAAAUUAUAUCUCCAGAACUUUAUACUCAAGGAUCACUGAUAAUGAAUUCCUCAAAUUCAUAAAGUAUCAUGAUUAUAGUACCUUCAUAGGCAUUUACGAUUCUUUAUACAGCCUUUAUAUAAAGGAUUUUAAGACAUAUCCUUGUGUUCUUGUUGUUAAGGUUUUUUUGUUUUGUUUUGUUUCCAAAGAAGUUAGCUACAAUAAGCUAGUGUACACACCAUAUUUUUUUUCAGUCACCAGUAAUGCCUUUGUGCUUUCUUAUUACACUGCAUGGUACUUUAAUGAUUGAAUAAGUGUCGUCCACUAGAUAUAGCUAAAAUGUCAGCAACACUGGUAAAGGUAAGGGAAAAGAAAGAACAUGCCAUACAAAGCCAUAUGCUGCAAUGCUUUGUAAAGACACUGCUGUCAGUCAGUACCCAUCAAUGUUGCUAGUGUAAAGCAUAACGUUCAUUAUGUAUUUAAUUAAUGUGAACUGAGAUAAAGUUCAGUUAUAUAGUGCAUUAAUCCACAUGAAAUACACAGAAAUUCAUGGAAUUUGUUGUGAGAAAGGGGAGAUCAUCUUGGUUGAGAUUACACGGCAUGGCGUGGUGUCCAGGGGAUCAGAUCCAGUUAGCAUGGGUUUAUGAAAGGCAGGUCGUGCUUGACAAACCUCAUCUCCUCCUACGGCUGGGUGACCAGACUGAUAGAUACGACCAGGCUGUCGAUGUAGUCUACCUAGACUUCAGCAAAUCCUUUGACAUGGUCUCUCACAGUAUUCUCCUGGGAAAACUGCCUGCCCAUGGCCUGGACAGAUGUACCCUUAUUUGGGUAACGAACUGACUAGAGGGCUGUGCCCAACAGGUAGUAGUUAAUGAAGUUAAGUCCAGUUGCUGACCAGUCACAAGUGCUGUCCUCCAGGGGUCGGUACUGGGGCCCAUCUUGUUUAAUAUCGUUAUCGAUGAUCUAGAUGAGGGGAUUGAGUGUACCCUCAGUAAGUUUGCAGAUGACACCAAGUUGGGAGGCAGCGUCAAUCUGCCUGGAGGUAGUGAGGCCCUUCAGAGGGAUGUGGAUAGGAUGAAUUACUGGGCUGAAGUGAAUAGGAUGAGGCUCAACAUGGCCAAGUGCCAAGUCCUGUACUUUGACCACAAUAACUCCAUGCAGUGCCAUAGGCUUGCGGCUUAGUGGCUGGAUGACUGUGAAGAGGAAAGGGACCUGGAGGUGUUGGUUGAUGCUUGACUGAACAUGAGCCGACAGCGAGCCCAGGUGACCAGGAGGGCCAAUGCCAUCCUGGCCUGCAUUAGAAAUAGUGUGGCCAGCAGGAACAGGGAAGUAAUCAUCCCCCUGUACUCAGCACUGGUGAGGCCACACCUUGAGUACUGUGUUCAGUUUUGGGCCCCUAACUACAGGAAAGACAUGGAGGCCCUGGAACAUGUCCAGAGAAGGGCAAUGAAACUGGUGAAGGGUCUGGAGCAUAGGUCUUAUGAGGAGCAGCUGAGGGAGCUGGGAUUGUUUAGGCUGGAGGAGGCUCAGAGGAGACCUCAUUGCACUCUACAACUUCCUGAAGGGAGGUUGUGAUGAGGAAGGGUUUGGCCUCUUCUCCCAGGCAACAAACAGGACCCAAGGAAAUGGCCAGAAGUUGUACCAGAGGAGGCUUAGGUUAGACAUAAGGAAAACUUUUUCUCUCAGAGAGUAGUCAGGCACUGGAAUGGCCUGCCCAAGGAGGUAGUGGAGUCGCCAUCCCUGGUAGUUUUCAAGAGGUGUCUGGAUGAGGAGCUAUGAGAUAUGGUUUAGUGGCUUGUGGUAGCAAGAGUAAUGGAAGGACGGUUGGACUAGAUGAUCUUAUAGGUCCUUUCCAAACUUGUGAUUCUAUGAUUCUAAGAUGGAGAAAUGAAUGAAUGGGAAACAGUCCUUGUGCCUAGUAACUGACAGACUAACAGAUCAAAUCACAUAUGUGUUAAGCAUCCGAGCAAAAUAUUGUGAUGUCUAAGAAAAAAUAAUUGUAAAAUAUCUACAAAUGACUCAGUUGCAAUUUUUCUUCCUGUUAUAUGGUGAUUGGAAUAUGACUGGAGACAGGGACAACAAACAUCAAGGAAUAAAUCAGAUCAGCAUUUGCUGUUGUGCAGUUUUUAGAGAAACAAGACUUAAUGUAAUUGCUUUCAAAUGCAUAUGAUGUUUAAUUAAAAAGAUCACAAUAAGUGGUACAAAAGUGCAUUUAUUAGCCUAUUUAGGUAACUUGCUUAGAAUCAUAAUAUCAUGGAAUGGCUUAGUUUGGAAGGCAUUGUAAACAUAAUCUAGUUCAAACUCUCCUACUAUGGGCAGGGUUCUGAUCCACUAGAUCAUACUGCCCACGGCCCCUUCCAACCUGGUCUUGAACACCUCUAGGGAUAGAGCAUUCUUAACUUCUCUCAGGGUAGCCUACUGCAGUGCCUCAAAACCCUCUGGAUAAAAAAAUUUCUUCCCAACAUUUAAAUCUCCCCUCUUUUAUCUUCAAACCGUUUCCCCUUGGCCCAUCACUAGAUAUCUGUGUAAGAGACGGAAUUCCCUCCUCUUUAUAAGCUCCCUUCAAGUACUAGAAGGCUGCAGUUAGGUGUCCACUGAGUCUACUCUUCCCCAAGCUAAACAAGCCCAAUUCCAUCAACCUUUCUUCCUAGGAGAGGCUCUUCAGCCCUCUGAUCAUCUUUGUGGGCCUCCUAUGAACCCUCUCCAACAGCGCCGCAUCUUUCUUGUGCUGGAGGCUCCAGAUCUGGACACAGUAUUCCAGAUGGGGCCUCACAAGGGCUGAGUAGAGGGGGACCAUCAUCCCCUCUCCCUGCUGACCACACCUCUUUUGAUGCAGCCAAGAAUAGAGUUGGCCUUUUGGAUUGCAAGAGAACACUGUCGGCUCAUGUCAAUAUUUUUGUACACCAGAACCCUCAAGUCCUUCUCCACAGGACUGUUCUCAAUCAAUUAUUUCUUCUCCCAGUUGGUACUCAUUUCUAGGUUACUCCAACAAAAUUAUGAAUCUGAUUUUAUCUUCUGUUCCUUUGUAUGCCUUUAUUAUACUUGACUGACUCUUUGAAAAUGAAUGCAUAUGAAAAGAAUAUCUAAAAGUUCAUUUUUAACUACAAGAAAUUAACAAAUUCUUUUUCCUGCCUUCAGCAUAUGCCUGUGUUUUAAUUUUUACGUAUGUAUGAAUAUAUGUGUCUAUAUUGUAUACCCAUUAAUAAAAUAGUAUCAGCAUUGCACCAAAUCCACUUUUUUUUAACAAAGAUUAUCUCAAAAAUCACCUUUUGGAUUGAAGCUUUCUGAAAAUAAUUUGCUCUUAAAUUUUGAAAUAUGAAGCAUAUUUAGACAAAUACAAUGUUUAUCAGAAAUAUUUAUGUAGGCCUAUUUCCCUCAUUUUGUAGCAGCACUGCUUUAAAAUUAUUGAUGAACUAGUCAUAGGAAUCACUCUUUUAAGUUCUCUACCUCUUACAUGGGAAAAUGUUGCUAACCUUUUUGCUAGGAGGCUGCUUGUGGAUCUUAUUUCAAAACUUUUUACCCACCUUGUUGGCAGCAGCUCAGGUCCGCUGUUUGACAGUAAUGCCAACCUCUACAUCUCCAUGUUUGAUGCAACUAUUUCCACAUUCAGUGAUGGAAGUUAGACAGUCCUACUGUAGCUUAUACAGUUGCAGAGUGCUCCAUGGAUCAUAUGAAGGUCAAGAAGAAGUUUUAUAUACACAAAUGAAUACAUAUAUAUAAGUAUAUUGAUACAGUUAUAUGUAUGUACAUGUAUUUAUAUGCAAAUAUGUGUUUAUAUGUGUAUUUGUAUAUAUAAACCUAAAAUGAAAUCUUGUUCUAUUGAAUUAAAAC
ensembl:lncRNA